rnacentral:miRNA from 1 species
GUGGUUUCCAACCCAGUCCUCAUGGACCACCAACAGUCCAGGAUUUAUGUAUUUCUCUUUUUUAUUUAAAUGGAGAUACUGACAAAACCUGGACUGUUGGUGAUCCACGAGGACUGGGUUGGGGACCA